AGAGUUUGAUCCUGGCUCAGAACGAACGUUGGCGGCGUGGAUUAGGCAUGCAAGUCGAACGAAUCCCGGGGCAACCUGGGGGAAGUGGCGAAAGGGGCAGUAAGGCGUGGGUAACCUACCCUGGGGACGGGGAUAGCCUUCCUAACGGAAGGGUAAUACCUGGCGACAUGGUUGACCGGCAUCGGUCGUCCAUCAAAGGAAUUUCGCCCCUGGAGGGGCCCACGUGAUAUUAGCUUGUUGGCGGGGUAACGGCCCACCAAGGCGAAGAUGUCUAGCAGGUGUGAGAGCACGACCUGCGCCACUGGCACUGAGACACUGGCCAGACUCCUACGGGAGGCUGCAGUCGAGGAUCUUCGGCAAUGGGCGCAAGCCUGACCGAGCGACGCCGCGUGCGCGAUGAAGGCCUUCGGGUUGUAAAGCGCUGUCGAGGGGGAGAAAAGGAAACUUGAUCGACCCCUGGAGGAAGCACGGGCUAAGUUCGUGCCAGCAGCCGCGGUAAUUC
rnacentral:rRNA from 1 species